UACGUAGGGGGCAAGCGUUGUCCGGAAUCAUUGGGCGUAAAGCGCGUGUAGGCGGCCAGAAAAGUCCGCUGUGAAAACUCGAGGCUCAACUUCGAGCUGUCGGUGGAAACUUUCUGGCUAGAGUCCGGAAGAGGAGAAUGGAAUUCCUGGUGUAGCGGUGAAAUGCGCAGAUAUCAGGAGGAACACCAGUGGCGAAGGCGGCUCGCUGGGCCGGUCCUGACACUGAGGCGCGAAGGCGUGGGGAGCGAACGGG
rnacentral:rRNA from 1 species